rnacentral:lncRNA from 1 species
ACUCACUCCUCCUCCGCCUCCAGCGCCACCUCGUAUCUCCUCAUUCCCGACAUGUCCUGGGCUCCGAACGUCUCCUGGGGAGCGGCAUGAUUGAAUCAGGGAUUCCCUAGCCCCAGGUCCCCUUCUCCGUCAUUCUCAGGACGAGGCUGCCCAGUUCUCAGGCAGAAAAAUGUGAAAAGAGAGACUGGCCUAGCCUCCCAGCCUACAUCUUUCUCCCAUCCUGGAUGUUUCCUGCCCUUGAAUGUUGGACUCCAAGUUCUUCAGUUUUGGAACUCGGACUGUCUCUCCUUGCUCCUCAGCCUGCAGACGGCCUAUUGUGGGACCUUGUGAUCGUGUUGUUGUGGUGGUAUUACUACUACUCAGCAAGAUUCUGGUUUUACUUCUCAUCUUGGGAGUUACCAUCAAGACGUUAGGUAUGGCUGUGUGACCCACUUUGGCCAAUGAAAUGUGAACAGAAAUGGCAUAUGUCACUUGUGGACAAAAACAUUUAAGCAAGAAUUUCCCUUGCUGUCUUCCUUGACUGGAGCGACCAUGGAAGCCUGUGUUGAGAUGAAGAGGCUGCCAACAGAUCAAAACACUUGAAAACUUGAGCAGCCACAUGGACUACAACUGUGCUGGAGACUUGCCUGGACCCACAGCAGGCUUGGUAUGCAUGGGGAAUAGAAUUUUGUUGUAUUACACUCCUCAGAUUUGGAUGUCAUUUGUUAUUACAGCAUUACCUAGCCUAUUCUGAC